rnacentral:rRNA from 1 species
UGUAAGCCAGGUCGGUUUCUAUCUUUAUAAAAUUAAAAUAUUUUAGUACGAAAGGACCAAAUAUUUAAUAUAUUUAUAUUUUAUUUUUUGAAUAUUAUU